CAUGCCGUUUAGGUAUAUGACAGCCAGGUAUAUUUAAUUAAUGAGUGACUUCACCUGACUCAGGCGCAGGUGCUCCGCUGGAUUUUUGUUUCUAUUUUUAUCAGAAAGCCUUGGGAAGAAUCGGAUGCCGAUUGGUCUACCAAAUGGUCCUGAGAAUCAUUGCCUUUUUUCACUCCUUGGCUCGGGUGAUGUCUCAGAUGAUAAAUAACAGCUCAACAACCCUCAAGUCCACUCCCAAGGGGGACAAGGGGACUUGCGUGUUGGUCCAUAUUCAAUAAAUCUGAAUUUGUCAUGGGAAAAUACAACAGUUGGGGUUUAGAAGAGCCACAAUACUGUGAAAUCAGUCUGUGUUUGGCUGCAUGUGUAUGGAUGUGAGUCACCUGUGUUAUGUGGUAUGACAUACAAUAAAAGUAAUACAGUGACAGCCUA